CAAAGGCGUGGUCCCGACCUUACUAUCAGCUAUAGCCCAACUUACACAUGCGAGUCUCCGCAACCCAGUGAGUACGCCCUCAAUCCCCCUUACGCGGGGACGAGGAGCGGGCAUCACGCACAAACAUUAGCCCAAGACGCCUAGACGAGACACACCCCCGAGGGAAUUCAGCAGUGAUAAACAUUAAGACAUAAGUGAAAACUUGUCUUAGUUAGUGUUAAGAGGGCCGGUAAAACUCGUGCCAGCCACCGCGGUUAGACGAGAGGCCCUAGUUGAUAUCACAACUGGCGUAAAGGGUGGUUAAGGAUAAAACAAGAUUUUUUAAAGCCAAAUGGCCUCCUUGGCCGUCAUACGCUUCUGGGUGUCCGAGGCCCUAUAUACGAAAGUAGCUUUAAUAAACACCUGACCCCACGAAAGCUGAGGAACAAACUGGGAUUAGAUACCCCACUAUGCUCAGCUGUACAACCAAGACAUCCACCUACACACUAGAUGUUAAUCAGGGGUAUUUGAGCAGCAGCUUAAAAUACAAAGGACUAGUCGUAGUCUCAGACAACCAAAGAGGACCCCGUUAAAGAACCAAUAACCCUUGCUUUACCUCACCCAUUCUAAACAAACCAGCCUUUAUACCGCCGUCGUCAGCUUACCCUGUGAAGGAACAAAAGUAAGCAAAAUGGGCACAACCCAGUAACGUCAGGUCGAGGUGUAGCUGCAUGCAAGUGGGAAGAAAUGAGCUACAUUUUCUAUCACAGAAUAUUACGAACACGCACCAUGAAAAUAGUGCGUGAAGGAGGAUUUACUAGUGAAGAGGAAACAGAGUGUCCCUUUGAACCCGGCUCUGAGACGCGUACACACCGCUCGUCACCCUCCCCGUCAAAACACACCAAAAAUACCUAAUACAACAGCACCAACAAGGGGAGGCAAGUCGUAACAUGGUAAGUGUACCGGAAGGUGCACUUGGAUCAAACC
rnacentral:ncRNA from 1 species